rnacentral:rRNA from 1 species
UACGGAGGGUGCGAGCGUUAAUCGGAAUUACUGGGCGUAAAGGGCGCGUAGGCGGUGGGUUACGUCUGCCGUGAAAUCCCCGGGCUCAACCUGGGAAUGGCGGUGGAAACGGGCUGACUGGAGUAUGGGAGAUGGUGAUGGAAUUCCAGGUGUAGCGGUGAAAAGCGUAGAGAUCUGGAGGAACACCAGUGGCGAAGGCGGUCAACUGGCCCAAUACUGUCGCUGAGGCGCGAAAGCGUGGGGAGCAAACAGG